rnacentral:rRNA from 1 species
UACGUAGGGUGCGAGCGUUAAUCGGAAUUACUGGGCGUAAAGCGUGCGCAGGCGGUCCGCAAAGUCUGAUGUGAAAGCCCCGGGCUCAACCUGGGAACUGCAUUGGAAACUAACGGGCUCGAGUGUGGCAGAGGGGGGUGGAAUUCCGCGUGUAGCAGUGAAAUGCGUAGAGAUGCGGAGGAACACCGAUGGCGAAGGCAGCCCCCUGGGCUAACACUGACGCUGAGGCACGAAAGCGUGGGGAGCAAACAGG